GUGGGGAAUAUUGGACAAUGGGCGCAAGCCUGAUCCAGCCAUGCCGCGUGAGUGAUGAAGGCCUUAGGGUUGUAAAGCUCUUUCGUCAGGGAAGAUAAUGACGGUACCUGAAGAAGAAGCCCCGGCUAACUUCGUGCCAGCAGCCGCGGUAAUACGAAGGGGGCUAGCGUUGCUCGGAAUCACUGGGCGUAAAGCGCGCGUAGGCGGCUUUCUAAGUCAGGGGUGAAAUCCUGGAGCUCAACUCCAGAACUGCCUUUGAUACUGGAGAGCUUGAGUUCGGGAGAGGUGAGUGGAACUGCGAGUGUAGAGGUGAAAUUCGUAGAUAUUCGCAAGAACACCAGUGGAGAAGGCGGCUCACUGGCCCGAUACUGACGCUGAGGUGCGAAAGCGUGGGGAGCAAACAGGAUUAGAAACCCGGGUAGUCC
rnacentral:rRNA from 1 species